UAAAUAAUGGAAAACCAGAAAAAUCUGGUGCAAUAGUGCAGAUUUUGCACCAGAUUUUCAGAUUUUUCUCCUCAACUUUGAACCCUCAUUUCUUGAGUUCUAGAGCUCCAAAUUGGGUGAUUCAAAAGGCAAAAUUGUGAGGUUUUUCGUGGAGAACGCAUUGGAGAGAUUGAAAACUGAUUUGGAGCAUUCGAUUCAGCUUGGCAGCGUUCCGAGGCCGUUCGAAAGGGAAAAGCUCCAGCACAGUGAUUUGGAGCCCGCGUGUUUGGCCUACAGGACCGAGCACCAGCUACUGUCACGAAUAGAUCGAUCUUGUUGUAGUCAGAUUCGGAGACUAGGGUGAUAACUUGG